UCCUGAGUGGUGCAGCAGGUAGUAUGCUGCCUCACAACUCCAGGAUCCCAGGUUCGAUCCUGAGCUUGGGUU